AAAGUCGAUCCCUAGUGCACUUGGAGGAUUCCUUGGAAGUCGAUGCCUGAAAGCCUGGCUCCUUGAGGGAUCGACUUUUUUUCCUUGGAAGAAAAAGUCGAUCUUCAAAAAGUCGAUCCCUUGCUGGCUGAUUUCCUCGCAAAACUUCCUAGCUGGCGACUUGGAAAAAAGUCGAUCAUUUUUUUCGAAAAAGUCGAGGAGCUUUUGUCGUGAGUAUCUUUGAGUCACAGACGGCGCCAACUGAUGGGGGUGAAACCCGACCAGUACUCCAAGACGCGCAAGCAAGCGCUAAGCGGGGAACUCCGCGGGAAACCGGACCGGAACUCAAGUGUGCAGAGCUCUGCUUCGCUAGGAAUCCUUUCGCUCCAAAUGACCUGCCUUUAAUGAGUGGGGGGUGCCCUCUAUUUAUAGGGGUUCUUAUGGGGGC
rnacentral:lncRNA from 1 species